UACGUAGGUGACAAGCGUUGUCCGGAUUUACUGGGCGUAAAGAGCGCGCAGGCGGUCGUUCAAGUCGAGUGUGAAAGCCCCCGGCUCAACUGGGGAGGGUCAUUCGAUACUGAUCGACUCGAAGGCAGGAGAGGGUAGUGGAAUUCCCGGUGUAGUGGUGAAAUGCGUAGAUAUCGGGAGGAACACCAGUGGCGAAGGCGACUACCUGGCCUGUUCUUGACGCUGAGGCGCGAAAGCUAGGGGAACAAACGGG
rnacentral:rRNA from 1 species